rnacentral:rRNA from 1 species
GUCUACGGCCAUGCCACCCUGAACAAGCCCGAUCCCCUCUGAUCUCGGAAGCUAAGCAGGGUUGGGCCUGAUUAGAACUUGGAUGGGAGACCACCUAGGGAGACCAGGUGCUGUAGGAG